UAAACGAGGUAGGCCUACAUUUGAACGUCUUACCGUAGGACUUAGAACCUUGCUCCUUGGGUGACGAGUGGCGGACGGGUGAGUAAUGUCUGGGAAACUGCCCGAUGGAGGGGGAUAACUACUGGAAACGGUAGCUAAUACCGCAUAACGUCGCAAGACCAAAGAGGGGGACCUUCGGGCCUCUUGCCAUCGGAUGUGCCCAGAUGGGAUUAGCUAGUAGGUGGGGUAACGGCUCACCUAGGCGACGAUCCCUAGCUGGUCUGAGAGGAUGACCAGCCACACUGGAACUGAGACACGGUCCAGACUCCUACGGGAGGCAGCAGUGGGGAAUAUUGCACAAUGGGCGCAAGCCUGAUGCAGCCAUGCCGCGUGUAUGAAGAAGGCCUUCGGGUUGUAAAGUACUUUCAGCGAGGAGGAAGGUGUUGUGGUUAAUAACCGCAGCAAUUGACGUUACUCGCAGAAGAAGCACCGGCUAACUCCGUGCCAGCAGCCGCGGUAAUACGGAGGGUGCAAGCGUUAAUCGGAAUUACUGGGCGUAAAGCGCACGCAGGCGGUCUGUCAAGUCGGAUGUAAAUCCCCGGGCUCACCUGGGAACUGCAUCCAAACUGGGGUAAUCUUGUGAGGGGGGUAGAAUUCCGGUGUAGCGGUGAAAUGCGUAAAGAUCUGGAGGAAAC
rnacentral:rRNA from 1 species